UGCAAGUCGAGCGGAUGAAGGUAGCUUGCUACCGGAUUCAGCGGCGGACGGGUGAGUAAUGCCUAGGAAUCUGCCCGGUAAUGGGGGAUAACGUUUCGAAAGGAACGCUAAUACCGCAUACGUCCUACGGGAGAAAGCAGGGGACCUUCGGGCCUUGCGUUAUCGGAUGAGCCUAGGUCGGAUUAGCUAGUUGGUGAGGUAAUGGCUCACAAAGGCGACGAUCCGUAACUGGUCUGAGAGGAUGAUCAGUCACACUGGAACUGAGACACGGUCCAGACUCCUACGGGAGGCAGCAGUGGGGAAUAUUGGACAAUGGGCGAAAGCCUGAUCCAGCCAUGCCGCGUGUGUGAAGAAGGUCUUCGGAUUGUAAAGCACUUUAAGUUGGGAGGAAGGGCAGUAAGUUAAUACCUUGCUGUCUUGACGUUACCAACAGAAUAAGCACCGGCUAACUUCGUGCCAGCAGCCGCGGUAAUACGAAGGGUGCAAGCGUUAAUCGGAAUUACUGGGCGUAAAGCGCGCGUAGGUGGUUCAGCAAGUUGGAUGUGAAAGCCCCGGGCUCAACCUGGGAACUGCAUCCAAAACUACUGAGCUAGAGUACGGUAGAGGGUGGUGGAAUUUCCUGUGUAGCGGUGAAAUGCGUAUAUAUAGGAAGGAACACCAGUGGCGAAGCGACCACCUGGACUGAUACUGACACUGA
rnacentral:rRNA from 1 species